ensembl:lncRNA novel transcript, sense overlapping to SLC25A29
CCAGCCAGGAUCCCCCAAAGUGUGCAGAGGGCUCAGCAGAGAACAGUAUGGGACCCCCUCACCAGGCCUGGAACACCUCCAGCCACAAAGAAGCCAAAGAUUAAACUCCUUACAGAAGUUAACUCUGCAGACUGAGAAGACGUGAACAGAGAGAGUCAAGGGGAGUGAUGACUAUUUCAGAGACAGGAAAGGACAGAAGAGAUGAC